rnacentral:rRNA from 1 species
GUGGGGAAUUUUGGACAAUGGGCGCAAGCCUGAUCCAGCAAUGCCGCGUGUGUGAAGAAGGCCUUCGGGUUGUAAAGCACUUUUGGCAGGAAAGAAAUAGUGCGUGCUAAUACCAUGCGCGAAUGACGGUACCUGCAGAAUAAGCACCGGCUAACUACGUGCCAGCAGCCGCGGUAAGACGUAGGGUGCAAGCGUUAAUCGGAAUUACUGGGCGUAAAGCGUGCGCAGGCGGUUUUGUAAGACAGGUGUGAAAUCCCCGGGCUCAAGCUGGGAACUGCACGUGUGACUGCAAGGCUAGAGUGUGUCAGAGGAAGGGGGAAUUCCGCGUGUAGCAGUGAACUGCUUGGAGAUGCGGAGGAACACCGAUGGCGAAGGCAGCCUCCUGGGAUAACACUGACGCUCAGGCACGAAAGCGUGGGGAGCAAACAGGAUUAGAAACCCGGGUAGUCC